GUCGAGCGGACGGAUGGGAGCUUGCUCCCUGAAGUCAGCGGCGGACCGGUGAGUAACACGUGGGCAACCUGCCUGUAAGACUGGGAUAACUUCGGGAAACCGGAGCUAAUACCGGAUAAUGCAUUUCCCCUCAUGGGGAUAUGCUGAAAGAUGGUUUCGGCUAUCACUUACAGAUGGGCCCGCGGCGCAUUAGCUAGUUGGUGAGGUAACGGCUCACCAAGGCAACGAUGCGUAGCCGACCUGAGAGGGUGAUCGGCCACACUGGGACUGAGACACGGCCCAGACUCCUACGGGAGGCAGCAGUAGGGAAUCUUCCGCAAUGGACGAAAGUCUGACGGAGCAACGCCGCGUGAGUGAUGAAGGUUUUCGGAUCGUAAAACUCUGUUGUCAGGGAAGAACAAGUGCCGGAGUAACUGCCGGCACCUUGACGGUACCUGACCAGAAAGCCACGGCUAACUACGUGCCAGCAGCCGCGGUAAUACGUAGGUGGCAAGCGUUGUCCGGAAUUAUUGGGCGUAAAGCGCGCGCAGGCGGUCUCUUAAGUCUGAUGUGAAAGCCCACGGCUCAACCGUGGAGGGUCAUUGGAAA
rnacentral:rRNA from 1 species